rnacentral:SRP_RNA from 1 species
UGUCAGGGGCCGUGGAUGUCCAGCUUGUGAACCCCGCCAGGUCCUGACGGAAGCAACGGCAGCAUGCCUGUCCAUGCUGCGGCUCCCUGACACUU